UUUAUUUCCUGGGAACCAGGGAAAGCAGAACUCAGCAAGCAGAAUGCCACAUUUUUCUUUUCUUGCAGGACCACCAUAAUCAUUAAAGGCAUUUGUGAAAUCAUCGUACUCAGCACUAAACACGCUCAAUAGAUGUAGUUUCCAGCUCCCUCACUCCAGGCGUUCCAGAUGAUGAAUGUGAACAUUCCUAAAGGAUGCUUCCAAGAAUACAGCCAGCCUUCAAGAAACUACAGCUAACCAGAACAAAUAAGGCAAAAUUCCUCAUAUCCAUGCUGGACAAGGCAGCCCAAACAGGAGGAAAAGAAUAUCAAGAGAGAAAAAUAAACACAGAAGUGGAUGCUCACAGUCAGCUAAUGGAUGGAUCACAGGGCUCCCAAUGGAGGAGCUAGAGAAAGUACCCAAGGAGCUAAAGGGAUCUGCAACCCUAUAGGUGGAACAACAUUAUGAACUAACCAGUACCCCGGAGCUCUUGACUCUAGCUGCAUAUGUAUCAAAAGAUGGUCUAGUCGGCCAUCACUGGAAAGAGAGGCCCAUUGGACACGCAAACUUUAUAUGCCCCAGUACAGGGGAACGCCAGGGCCAAAAAGGGGGAGUGGGUGGGUAGGGGAGUGGGGGUGGGUGGGUAUGGGGGACUUUUGGUAUAGCAUUGGAAAUGUAAAUGAGCUAAAUACCUAAUAAAAAUGGAAAAAAAAGAAAA